UACGUAGGUGGCAAGCGUUUGUCCGGAAUUAUUGGGCGUAAAGCGCGCGCAGGCGGUCCUUUAAGUCUGAUGUGAAAGCCCACGGCUCAACCGUGGAGGGUCAUUGGAAACUGGGGGACUUGAGUACAGAAGAGAAGAGUGGAAUUCCACGUGUAGCGGUGAAAUGCGUAGAGAUGUGGAGGAACACCAGUGGCGAAGGCGACUCUUUGGUCUGUAACUGACGCUGAGGCGCGAAAGCUAGGGGAGCGAACAGG
rnacentral:rRNA from 1 species